GCGGCGUGCUUAACACAUGCAAGUCGAACGAUGAUGGGAGCUUGCUCCUGGAUUAGUGGCGAACGGGUGAGUAACACGUGAGUAACCUGCCCUUAACUCUGGGAUAAGCCUGGGAAACUGGGUCUAAUACCGGAUAUGACUCCUCAUCGCAUGGUGGGGGGUGGAAAGCUUUAUUGUGGUUUUGGAUGGACUCGCGGCCUAUCAGCUUGUUGGUGAGGUAAUGGCUUACCAAGGCGACGACGGGUAGCCGGCCUGAGAGGGUGACCGGCCACACUGGGACUGAGACACGGCCCAGACUCCUACGGGAGGCAGCAGUGGGGAAUAUUGCACAAUGGGCGCAAGCCUGAUGCAGCGACGCCGCGUGAGGGAUGACGGCCUUCGGGUUGUAAACCUCUUUCAGUAGGGAAGAAGCGAAAGUGACGGUACCUGCAGAAGAAGCGCCGGCUAACUACGUGCCAGCAGCCGCGGUAAUACGUAGGGCGCAAGCGUUAUCCGGAAUUAUUGGGCGUAAAGAGCUCGUAGGCGGUUUGUCGCGUCUGCCGUGAAAGUCCGGGGCUCAACUCCGGAUCUGCGGUGGGUACGGGCAGACUAGAGUGAUGUAGGGGAGACUGGAAUUCCUGGUGUAGCGGUGAAAUGCGCAGAUAUCAGGAGGAACACCGAUGGCGAAGGCAGGUCUCUGGGCAUUAACUGACGCUGAGGAGCGA
rnacentral:rRNA from 1 species